rnacentral:rRNA from 1 species
AGAUUGAACGCUGGCGGCAUGCCUAACACAUGCAAGUCGAACGGGAGUAGCAAUACUCUAGUGGCGGACGGGUGAGGAAUACGUAGGAAUUUGCCCUUAAGUGGGGGAUAACCCGGGGAAACCCGGAUUAAUACCGCAUGACCUCGAAAGAGCAAAGUGGGGGAUCGCAAGACCUCACGCUUUUGGAGAAGCCUACGUCGGAUUAGCUAGUUGGUGAGGUAAUGGCUCACCAAGGCGACGAUCCGUAACUGGUCUGAGAGGAUGAUCAGUCACACCGGAACUGAGACACGGUCCGACUCC